rnacentral:rRNA from 1 species
UAAACGANGAGUGCUAGGUGUUAGACCCUUUCCGGGGNUUAGUGCCGCAGCUAACGCAUUAAGCACUCCGCCUGGGGAGUACGACCGCAAGGUUGAAACUCAAAGGAAUNGACGGGGGCCCGCACAAGCGGNGGAGCAUGUGGUUUAAUUNGAAGCAACGCGAAGAACCUUACCAGGUCUUGACAUCCCUCUGACCGCUCUAGAGAUAGAGUUUUCCUUCGGGACAGAGGUGACAGGUGGUGCAUGGUNGUCGUCAGCUCGUGUCGUGAGAUGUUGGGUUAAGUNNNNCNACGAGCGCAACCCCUAUUGUUAGUUGCCAUCAUUUAGUUGGGCACUCUAGCGAGACUGCCGGUAAUAAACCGGAGGAAGGUGGGGANGACGUCAAAUCAUCAUGCCCCUUAUGACCUGGGCUACACACGUGCUACAAUGGCNGGUACAACGAGUCGCAAGCCGGNGACGGCAAGCUAAUCUCUUAAAGCCAGUCUCAGUUCGGAUUGUAGG